AAAACUCAGGUGCUUAGAGAUUGGCGUGCGUCCUAUUAGAUAGUUGGUGAGGUAACGGCUCACCAAGUCGAUGAUAGGUAGGGGGCGUGAGAGCGUGGUCCCCCACACGGACACUGAGAUACGGGUCCGACUCCUACGGGAGGCAGCAGUAAGGAAUAUUGGUCAAUGGACGGAAGUCUGAACCAGCCAUGCCGCGUGAAGGAUGAAGGUGCUACGCAUUGUAAACUUCUUUGGACGGAGAAGAAACCCCUGCCUGCGGGCGGGGCUGACGGUAUCCGUAGAACAAGCACCGGCUAACUCCGUGCCAGCAGCCGCGGUAAUACGGAGGGUGCAAGCGUUAUCCGGAAUCACUGGGUUUAAAGGGAGCGCAGGCGGUUGGAUAAGUCAGAGGUGAAAGCUCUAUGCUUAACAUAGAAAUUGCCUCUGAUACUGUUUAACUAGAAUUAAGUUGAGGUAGGCGGAAUGCAACAUGUAGCGGUGAAAUGCAUAGAUAUGUUGUAGAACACCC
rnacentral:rRNA from 1 species